UGCCUUUAAGGCUCUUUCUGCAGUGAAGGUAUGUGUGUUUUUCCAGGCCCUUUUCUGCUUAGUCUCAUAGUAAUCUUUUCUGCUUACUCAUAAAAGGACAAUCUAAUUUAGAAGCCUACUUCUCCUGAAAGAUAAUUUUUUUAUAUGCCAAUUUUAGCCUCUUUUUUUUUUUUUUUUGGAAUGAAGUCAUCUUUUUCACAACUGGGGCCUAAAAAUGAUGAAUGAUUUCAUUUAUUUAUCCAGGCAGAAUAAUGUUUUUUUUUCCCUUUUGUGUUUUUUUAGAUUUUAGGCUUAUUUCAAAAUGAAUUCACCUAAAAUACAGAAGUCAUUUUUGUCAUUUGAUCAGCUUGUUUUGUUGAUCAUUAAUUAAAGUGUAUCUUUCAGAUGUAAGUAUACUCCGGCAGACUAAAUUUGGUUUAUGGCUGUAAAACACAUCAGCGUAGUCGCUAGGCUGUUUGUGUGCGUUUUGAGUAUCCUGCAACCCUCAGGAAGAAUAAAAGUAAUGCAGUAAUUCAUAAUUUUAUUACAAAAAUAUUGAUUAGUAAUCAUAAGUUUCAGAUGCUUUCAAAAAAGAAAUAUUUUUGCGAUACAUCUUUCCCAUAAUAUUUACUGGUGGUAAAAACAAGACAGAAAAAAGAAUAAUGGCCCAGGCAAAUUCAUUUUGUACUUGGAAUAUGUUUGAAAAUACACAGCAUACAUAAAAGUACCACAAAGAAACAUCUUGUCAGUCUGCUUUCCUUUUUUUUUCUUCCAUCUUCUCACUUCCUAUGGGGUACUAUUUCAUAUGUUACUCUUUUUCUUUCAGCUUCCUGAACCUAACUACUGUCUGCAGAAGAAGCAGUUUCUGAUUCAGUUCUAUGUUAUAUAGUUCCUGCUAAAGGAGGGAAGUUCUUAAAUGAGAGUUGUAAAUUAGCUUUCCAACAGAAAAUGAGUCUUGGUACUGGACUAACAUCUGAUGAUGCAGACAUCUGGGCUAAGGCAGGAAGAAGAAUUAAAACUGGUUUUCUUUUUCUGAACUCAUUCUACUGUCACCACUCCACACAUGAGCUCUUUUUUCUCCUUCCUGCCUCCUAGUAUGUUCACCAUCCUCCUUCCUCAGUCUUUUUCUCCUUCAGUAAAUUUAUGAAAACUGGAAUGACAAAACUUAAAUUUAUGUUUUAUCCACUGAAGCUCUGGCUGCCCUGUACAGGAAGCGUAGUGUAGCUUUUCUUAAAGGGCAUUGCGUGCAGUGGUAUAGAAGAAAAAUAUCCCCUAAAAUUCUGUUCAGACCUCUACUCUCUAUUUGAUAGCUUCCUAUUCUUGAAGUUUUCCUUAAAGCCUUUUUUUUUUUGUUGUUGCUGUUGUUGUUAAAGAGAGGCCUUAUUUUCCCAGUAUUUUUAACACUGAGUGUAAAGGAUGAUGAACUUAAUGACAGCCACUGCCCAGAUGGUCUCCCUGUUCUGUUAACAAAGACUUUUUUUUUAUCAACACUACAUGUUCUCCAUAGGAUGAAAGCUGAAAUCUUUAGAUAGAAUGAUGCAAAACCCAAAUGAACAUAAGUGUUUUUUUUAUAUACUUCUCAAGUACAAUAGCAGAUCAAAGGAUAGACUAGGGUGGAGCGUGGAAAUCCUAAUACGUUUAUAAAAAUACCAUAGUCUCAUCUUCAGCAGGACUUCAUCUCAUAAAUAGCUACCACAAUUACAGAGCAAUUUUGUGCUGAAAAAAAAGGGCUACAGGAAAGAAAUAGCAUCUGUUUCAUAUUCAGAAAACUGAAAUAUUAGCAGCAAGAGAUACAAAGACUUGGAAAUAGCUGGCGUCUGUUAUCAAGAUUUGUUUCUCAGAAUGCCAUUUUUGAGGGUAUUUUGCUCCUUUGUUUAGUGGGGAGUCUAGCUGAUUAGAUGCAAACCCAAAAAGUGAGCGUGAGUAGAAACGGUAUCACUUUGCAGUUUGGAAAUAUGAAGUCUAGAGGCAUUGUUAAAAAGCUGUGAAAGUUCCAUCAGAUGUCUUCCUAAAUAAUUGUGAUUUCCAGAGACUGAAUUAUUUUCCUUCUCAAUCUCAAGAAAUUUUAAUUUCCUUUGAUGGAAAAGCAUUUUAUUCACGUUAUGUAAGUGAAAUAAGCCUAGCAAGGCUUCUGGACUACUAAACAUCUGCCAUGUUCCCUUUUACCUUUGGGAACACUUAAACCAAAGUGUCUUUUCACCUGAUGCUCUGCCAUGCUGCCUUUUUUUUUUUUUUUUGGUGCAUAGAAGAGACUCAAUGGCCAAUGAUAAUCAGAUCAUGGCAGAGCAAGAUGAUUUUAUUUUAAGAAUACAAUCUAUGAUAUGGUCUAAGCCAUCAAGACAUGACAGAAAAGCUAAACAUCUUUUUGGCCUUAUUAUGGUUAUCCCCCUCCCGGUCUUCCUCUUCAUCAACCUUUCUAGAAGUUUAUUGUUGAAAAUGCAGCCUUAGGUCUUCAUAUUUUCCAUACUUUAUGAAAUCCAUUUUUCAAUUUCUAAGAGAAAGCACCUUUAAUCAUAAAGAAAGCAGCUUUAAUCAUAAGGGGCAUAGAUUUUCUCAGGUAUUUGUCCAGUGAGUGGUUAGAAGGCACAAUCUACCAAACCUUUGUGGAACAGCCCAAAGCAAUGUAAGUAUGGAAGGCUCUCUGCCUGUGUUUUACAAGGCCAAAUUAUUUACCUGAAGUAAAGAUCAGAAAUGUGAAUUUGCAGAUGGAGCUUCUAAUUAUUAUGCCAGUAGGAUGAUGGAAAGCAAGGGACUAAACAAAGGAGAGGGCCUCUAGUGGUUUGGAGAACAGUAAAUCUCUAAACAGCGUUUUACUGAAAAGUUGCAGUGAGUACUUUGCUCUGAAAUGUGAUAUAUUUGUGAAACAAUGGGACAGGAAAAUUCCUUUCAGUAGAGUCUGGAUGUUCCUUCAUCAGCACCACCGGCAAAUUUUCAUCCUAUCUCUGCCUGGGAAUAUGGGGAGAUAAUUUGUAUUCUGGUGCUGGUUUUUUUUUUUUUUUUUUUUUUUUUUGAGUCUCUAAGGAGAUGCUUGUAAAAAAGGGUGUCAAAGUGGUAAGUAAACUAGAUACCCUGAAGAGUCAGGACUGAAUGUGAGUUUUAUAGAAUGGAGGUGAAAGACUGCUUCUAAAGACUUCAUUCCUUUUUAAAACUAGGACUAGAGUUUGAAGGCUGAAUGACUUAAUAACAUGACUAAGUUGCCAAGAAAAUGUGUGUAUUUUCCAAAUUGGACAUCUGAUUUUAUUUUUUUAAUUGACCAAAUGUUCUUUCUCUUCUGAGAAUCACUUCACCACUUGAGGUUGAACAGAAUACUUAAUCUGGAACAAAUCUGGGUUAUGUGUUGCAUAGUUACUUUCCAGCACUAAAUUAGUAAAACCCUAAAAAAAAGCCAAGCUUUCUUAAAUUCAGUGGCAAAUGACUCAAAUAUGAAAAGAAUUCCAGAGUAAACUGUUAGUAGAUUAAAUAGUUCAGUAUCACUCUGAAAGGAUGCAGAAUCUUAGCUCUACAGGAUGUAAGGAGUAGGAGAAAAAACACCUAAAAUGAUUUCCCAACAUUUUAAUAUUAUAACUAUAUUUUAAGUCAUUCUCUUUAUAUUUGUAUUCGUUGCUGCCAUGGUGGUAACAUCCUGUUGGUGAGUCAAAGUACAGUGUCUGCAGAGAAUAGCAGUAAUUGUCAUGAGGCGCCUUGUUAUCCAAAUUGUUUAUAUACCAUGAAAUUUCCUCUCACCUCCAACACUGUCUCUACAGCCUGCGUUUGAAGAUAUAUACAAAUACAUUACAAGUGGUCUAAGUUGCUUUCAACUUUGAAUGAUAAUAGCAAUUUCAGUAUCUUCCCAGGGUUGACAAAGAUAGAGAUGCUCUCAAUAUCAUAAUACUAAUAUCCGUUUCUGUCACAGAAUGUUUAAAGUUUUUAGGAAGCAGUUUGAAAGCUAAUGAAAAUAGGAUUUUAUUCAUGGUAAAGUUUGUGACAGUCAUGUGAACAGUGAAUUAUAGCAAGAUAUUAAAGUACUGAUAAAAAUUUUCUGUGGAAAUGUUUCUUUAGAAAGCAGUGUGACACUGCAAAGAUUUAUUUCUAUAGUGUAUAAGUAGUUAAAUACCUACCUUUUCACUUUAAUUUUAACAAGUAUAUUUACCUAAACCCGAUGUAGCUAUUACCUUAUUGAUCUCAGUUUCUUGGCCAUUCUAGAUUUAUGAAGCUCAGUCUGGCCUUGAACACAGCUGUGAAAAAACCAUGUUGUUCAAACAGAUGCAGAUGGAUUGCAGAACCUGCUGUAUAUUGAUUCUAUUAAGCCUGAACUUCCAAUUAAAAUAAAGUUGUUUUUUCACAUCCAGAGAUUUGUGAAUAAAGACAGACAUGUUCAAAUUUACUAAAACUGAUAAGUGUUACUGUGAAUUCAGAUCAGAUUUUUAAAAUAAUUAACAGUAAAUAUGGAAGCAGUGCAAGUGUACACUUUAGGAAAAAAACAUGUUAUGUGGUAUUUCUUGAAAAGUCUUUCAUCUCAUUGUCUUCUUUCCAUGCAGGAAACGUUGUGCUUUAGUUUUGCCUAUUAUCAAAAUAAGGAUUAAUGGUACAUUAUUAUGCUGGGUAAAAUCCAAUAAUCAAUGAGUAAAUCUCCCUCAGUGCUGACUAGCUAUGAGAAACAUCUACUGGUAAAACAAAAACUGACAUUUAAAAACAAUAUAUAUUAGUAUUUUCUUGCUUCAGUAGAAAUGAAACCAAACUACGAACUAAUGGAACCUGUUAAAUAUACAACAUGUUGAUGGCAAAAGGAAAAACAAAAUCCCUUUUAAGUAAGUCCUCACUUGCUUCACAACAUUUUAAAACCACACAAUGUAAAAGUUGACCUAACAAAUAUAAGUUUACUUCAAAGGAGUGUUGAGAUGACACUAAGUUGAAACAUAUCUUUUUGUAAGCUGCUUCAUUUGACUUCUAGAAGGGCUACUCAGAAUGCCAUACUUAAUUAUGUUGGGCUGUGGCAUCGAAGGUGGAUGUUGGUAUGGAAUCUUCCCACCAAUACUGUUACAUUUCUUUGCCAUACAGCAGAUGGCAGCAGAGGGGCAGUCUGACAGAUUGGCAUCUGAUAUGGAAGUGCGUAUGAAGUAAAUAAGUGGAACUGAAUUCCCAUAUGUAGGAAAAAUGGCACCCAUUGACAUUCAUUGAUGCUUGCUGCAUGUUUCUGGAUACCAGUAGAUGUGAGCACAAUAAUGUGUAUCAGUAGUGGUGAUAGUGGCAGUGGUUCGCUUUCAGGAGAGCAGGUUUUGAUGAGCAUGGCAUGCAGGCUCUCAUUCAUCACUGGUGAAAAUGCACAGCCAAUGACGGCGGCCAUGUUGAAAAGGAGUGUUUUGUCGUUGAGUUUGCUCUAUCAAAGUGUUAUUUCUCUUCUUGUAUCCAUGCCAGUUUUCAUGAAAAAAUUGGCUGCUCCAGAAGUAAUUCCUCUUAUGUACUAGUUUCUUAACAGAUUAAUAAUUUUUGUGACUUUCUUCUGAAGAGAUGUAGUGCUAAUUUACUUCUUCUAGCAGUACUGUUUAAUUAGGCAGUCACUUUGCGUCUGCAUUCAUAAUACUGUCAUUUUUUUUCAGCGAUGGGUUCAUUUAAAGGAGUGCAAAGUAAAAACCUGAAGUAACAAAAUAUUUCUAAAAUACAGCUGAGGCCUACUUAUAGAGAGUUUAUUGAACUUCAGCUUAUCUCUAUUGUUAGAGAAUAUUACAUAUAUUUCCCUAUGCAGAGUAUAACAGAAGUUUUCCAAAUACAAAAUUAUUUAACCAGAUAAUCCUUUUAUGACUUGUAAACUCAUUGAAAGCUUCAUAUUUAAGUUUGACUGGAUUUUUCUUCCUUUGCUUGAGUUAAUAUCUUAUCCUUUAAAAUUCUUACUAUUAUCUCUAAGAUGACUUGAAGGAUAAAGCAAUGUUUAAUCUUGCAAGAAUGUGGGAAUUCUCAAUAGAUUUUAACAUCAAGAAAAAUAGAUGAGUCAGUCCAUAAAUACACAGUCACAUAAAGUCACUGGGAACGUGUGACCCUUGAUAUCAUCAGUUUCCUUCAAAAGGCUUGAGCUUCUAAACAGACCUACAGCAUUAAGGGCAACUUCUGGAGUAACAGACCUUGAGGAAAUAAAUGUCUUCAAAAACACCUUAAUUUUUCCUGUGUAUAGAAAAAAACUAUAGAAACUUCAGUGAGAGCAAUAACAUUUAAAAUUUCAAAAUGCGGUCUGAAAUCAUUUUGGAGUACAUAAGACAGAUAAGUUCAAAGUUAGUGAACGUUUCUGAACCUUUGGUUCAGAGUAUGGGAAGUCAUAACUGUACAAUGCUUAAAUGCUUGCAGACUUACAAGUAAUAAAAAAACCCCAAUUUCUUUUUUGUAUUCUUUGUUUAAAAAAAAAGCCAAUCUCAAACAGCAGCAACAACAAAAAUCCCACAAAGAAAAAAACCCUCAAAAACAAACCAAAAAGCCAGAACAAAUAUAUGAAAAAAGAAAAUUCAUUGUGAAUAUACUUACAACCCUCCUUAUUUUCUGUGACUUCCCCCUCCCCUCUCUUUAUCAC
rnacentral:lncRNA from 1 species